ensembl:lncRNA
GGAGCACCUCUCCUGUGAGGAAAGGUUGAGGGAACUGGGCUUGUUUAGCUUGGAAAAGAGAAGGCUCUGGGGAGACCUCAAUGUGGCCUUCCAGUACUUGAAGGGAGCAUAUAAACAGGAGGGGGAACGGCUGUUUACAAGGGUGGAAAGUGAUAGGACAAGGGGGAAUGGUUUUAAACUGAGACAGGGGAGGUUUAGGUUGGAUAUUAGGAAGAAGUUUUUCACCCAGAGGGUGGUGACGCACUGAACAGGUUGCCCAAGGAGGCUGUGGAUGCCCCAUCCCUGCAGGCAUUCAAGGCCAGGCUGGAUGUGGCUCUGGACAGCCUGGUCUGCUGGUUGGUGACCCUGCACAUAGCAGGGGGUUGAAAGUAGAUGAGCAUUGUGGUCUUUUUCAACCCAGGCCAUUGUAUGAUGCUAUGAUAAUGUCUGCCUUCAUGUUCUAUCCCCUUAAGGAAGCACUAUGUGGGAUCCUGGUCUUGGUGGGGAUACUGGGGUGCUUUAUGGUAAGGGGUAGGGAGCAAAGGAGAUGCCCUUCCAUGAACUGCACAAAAAGUUUGUUGUGCAGGGAUGGGCUGGGUACGUGAGGGUAAUGCAGGGAAGAUCUCCAUCCUUGCUUCACCUCUUAGUGGUACAGCUUGUAUUUCCAUGCCCCGCUGUGAACAGCUCUUCGUCAACUGGCAGAGAUCAGUGCUCCAUGAUGCUGAUAAUGCAAUUAGCAGCAGACCUGGAAAGUGUUCUGCAAAACAGACGUACACAGGGAAGACCAGGAAGGUAGCAAAAUUCCAAGAACAUCCAAUCUACCAAAAGUAUGACCUAGCAGUGAGUGCAGGAAUGAGGUAAGUUAGAGUAGAGCUCACCAAAGGCUUUGAUUUGUGUGCCUUCAGCUGUCGGGACCUGUAUUCCCCUCUAUACAUCAGGGUGCUAUGGGGUUGAUUUCCAUCCUGGACAGAUCUGCUCAUUGGUUCUGGUGCUGCCUUGUGAUUCUCAGCGCUGCCUCCUGGUGUGAUGCUGCUGCUUGUGAAGAUCUUUCCAGAUCACAUGAUGGAGAUGGAGACGACUUUAACAAAGGAAGAUGCAGGCUUCCGUUGCUGCUUCUUGCAGAAUUUGUUUCUUCUUAGUCAUAUGGGUUUUGCUCAGUUUUGCCAUUGCAAAGGCUUCUCAAGGUCUGAAGUGGUGUAGUCCCAAAUCAGAAACGCAUACUGGGAUAAUUGACUUGAUGAUGAGAAACCUUUGGUUCUGCAUGGCUGAAUAACCAUAAAAUGAACCAGGUACUCAAUAGCAAACUGCAAAGGGGAUGGGGGGGGGGCACACUGAUACUUCAUAAAGGUUGCAAAGUUAAGCAACCAAAACGUGGAAUGAGUGUUUGGUUGAAUAAGUAAUCCCAACUUCCCUUUGUGUGCACGGUGUUUAUUCGAUAGAGAGCAAUCUUGUGUUACUUACAGCUCUCAAUAAACAGAUAUCUAAGAUGAGCUCGCUCAUGUGUGAGUUCGGUCAUGUAAUUAAAGACUUUUGACACAUGGCCCGAUGCUCUGCCUUUAUGUUGGUGUAAAUGAGAGCAGAGGGUGGCUGUGCACCACACUGCCUGUGCUGAAGUGGCUUCAAUAUAGGCUCUUUGUGCAUCUAGAUGGCCAAGAGGGAUGGGACUGUCCCCUCUGCAGAGAGGGAAAGGGAGAAAUCUUAAUUAUCUGACCAGGUCUGUUUGUGCAACAGGUUAUGAAGGGUGUUCUCUCAAGCUGGGGGGUUGCACUGAUUUUGCAGGCAGGGUUUCAGGGAUGAAAUUCUAGCUCCCCGGGGGAUGGGCAGUGACUCUGGGGGAGGUGGCUUGGGGGAUGUUUGGAGCCCAUCUGCAGAAACACAGAGGAGCAGAGCAGGGCCUGCCCCGACCCCCCUUGGAGAGCUCUGCUGGCUGCGUGGGCUCCUGCACCCUCUGCAGUCCAGAGGGAUUGCUUGAGGUAAGGACCUGUUUGGCCAAUGGAGUCUUGUCAUUGAGCACCCUGUCAGCACCUUGGCUUUCUUACCCCCCAGUACAUCCAUGGUUGCAAUCCCAUGAGAAGUGACUGACUUUGGUACGGAGGUGCAAAUCAGAGCAUUGGAAGGAGGGGGGGGACAAUGGCAUGUGUAGGGUUUAUAUACUGUCACGUUCUUUGCUUUUUCUCAACAGGGAGGAAUUGCUGUGAUGAGUUUCUUGUCACUUUUUCUGGUACAUUUUUCUUCUUUUAAGAUGACAGAUCUCCAUGCUUGAACUAGGGCGUGCUGCUCCCCAAACCCAAACUCAUGCCAGUAGAAGUCAUCCAUGAAGUUGGUAUUUGUAGACUUAGCCCUGCCUGGCUUUCACUUGGAGUGUUGCAAACCAAAUUUGAUUCCUGUGUAGGUAUUUCUGUAUUUGCACUGCAUCCAAGGGAUGGUAUGACAAGCUCCAGCAAAUAACCCCACUUAUUUUUGGGGAAUGUUUUUUAGUAGUCUAAACCUUUCUAAAACCUUAAAGCUCCAUAAGCAGCUUAAACCAAUCUAAAGCCUUAGAUCAUUUUAAACAGCUUGUGCCAAUAGAAGGACUUAGAUUAUCUUAAAUGCCUUAAAGAGAUCUAAAGCUUUAGUGAAAGAAUUUGGCCAGUCUUGGAUUUGCUUGGUGGUUUGAUUGGAUUUCAUGGGCAUGUUGGUCAUCACUGGGUCAUUGCCCAACUGCUGUUGGGGAACAUGCCCUGAUUUUCUCUGUCUUGUGAUUUUGGGUAUUUGAGGGGCUGCCGUUUGAACACAGAAGUAAAUCCUGAAUCUUUAACCUUAACUCUGCCCUCAGGUGAAGAUCAUCUGUAACUUCUGUAUGCUGUCCCAGGUUCGUUUGGCUGAAUAUAUAUAUCUCACUUGAGAGAGAAGAGACGUUGUAUUACACCAAUUAAGGAUUUUCAAAGAAUUGUGAUGGCCUGAAUUGUCCUUUGCAGUUUAGAUUCUUAUCAGUUGCUUAUAGAGCUUUGAAAGUCUGAUCUUAAGACAUGGCGGCUUAAUUAAAGGCCUUUAAAAAUGUACAUAAAUGAAGGAAUGAGUCCAGACUGUGACUUCAGUUAAUUUGGACGUUCUCUAAUUAUUGCUUGCUUUGUGCUACAGCAUCAUCACAGUGUGAACAUAGGAUCUAAUACUUCCUUCGCUUUGCAAGGGGAAAUCAUAAGUAAUUCAGGCUCAGAGUUGGGGGGCUCUUCCUUUUGUGUUUUAUCUUAUUUUUGUAAUUUAAAUGAGAUGGAUUUUUCCUUGCAUGUCAACCAGCCUUGAAAGGCUGGGUUAUUUGAUUUCCCUUUGAGCACAGUGGCACAGAAGCUUUUUUUUUUUACUCCCAUUGACAGGUGGAGUAGCAUCCUCAGGAAUUAUUUCAUUAGAAGAUACAUCAAUAAUAGUACCAGAUACAUAUGAAGACAGCAUCAGAGCAGAAAUUUUCUGCUCAAACGCCUUAACCAAGAGAAGGAGCUGAUGCACUUCCUAUGCUGAGUGCUCGGCUGUGGAGUUGGGUCCUGAUGAGCUCUGCCAUGUGCAAUGUCUGCUUUCAAUCCCCGCGAUGUGCAAACAAAGCAGUUUUGUGCAGAUCUGACUUGGGGCAGCAUUUUAGAGCUUUCCUGUGUUAUAACUGCUUUAACUUGCAAGAAAGCUAAGAACAAGUUUUGGUUUCAAUUUUAGAUAUGGCUGUUUUCUCAGGCUUAAAUGUUGGUCUGCUAACAGGUUGUUCACAGUGAGGCUGCUAAAAAGUUCCAAUCUCCUGCAUUUUAUUCACUUUGCUUAUUAAUGCAUUUAUUCAUAGAAGCAGUGAGGGCUUGUUGGAAGGUGGACUGCUUUUCCUUUCGAUUUGCCACACGGAAUUCUUUUGCAGAUGGUAUCAUUCCUACUUCAUACUUAAAGCAAGAAGCAUGACUGCUAGCUCAGCACCUGAGAAUAUCUGGUGGAAGAUUCUGGGAUUUUUACACUUAAGAGCACUCAUUUUAAGUAAAUUAGCAAUAAAAAUAAAUAAUAAUAAAAAAACAACUCAAUCUGUACUGUAAAAUGCAUCCAGAAAUUCCAGGGCUGUGCUCAGUGCUGGAGUCUCACUGUGGCUCAGGCAGUUUGCCCUGGUCCCUCUCUCUGCUACGUGAUAAAUAAAGUUCCUUUCCUUCCUUAGAAUAUCUGACCCGGGGAGUUCAGGAUGAAGUUUGUUAGAAAUGUAAACAGGCUGCAGCUGGGUAAACCGCUGCUGAAUCAGGGCAGGGAGCAGAGCAGCCUUUUAAAUCUGGUUCUGUUUUUCCCCACCUCUAACCUGGUGAUGGGGACCGGGUUUGCUUCUGUCGCCAUACUGCAGUGCUGUGGACUUUUGUACUCGGCGUGUCUGUCUCUGCUUGGGUGAAACAGGGUGAGCUGGAGCUCUUGGGUUUCCUCCUGUCUAUCAGGAGCAAGUGCUGGUUUGGAGCUGGUGGACAAGCUGUGAAGCGCCCGCUUCCCUCUCUAUGGCAGCUUGGUGCAAUUACUUUUUUUUUUACCUAGCUUAGCCCCUUUUACUUUUUUCUCCUUUAACUCUUUCUUUGCUCCAAGCUCCUGAGCGCUCUCAGCUCUGCUCGCCUCUGCCCGAAGGCUCAAAGCAAAACCAGAGCAGCCAGUGCAGGAAUUCCCUAUUGCAUCCUCCUGCUCUAAGCUACCUGUCUCGCAUUCUGUGCCAUUCACAGCUAUAUGAUAGAAUGAUUCCUAAUGCUGUUUGCUAGUAGAAAAACAAAAGAAAAGUCUCUUCUUCUCUCUUGGAUGUUUUCUAUCCCCUCCCAGUUAUGGGUCAGGCAUUCAUGUGCUCCAGUUGCAGAGAGUCCCACUGAGCACAAAACAAUCCUGGGGUUUUGCAUGGACAGAAGCAGCUGCAGAUGGGAAUUGCCAUCAAGCAGUGCUGAAGCAAGAGUUAAACAGGUCUGAUACAAACUGUGGUGAGGCUUCUGUGACUGUUUCAUUGAAACAUCUAUGGCUGGUGUGUGUCACCCUGGAGCAGCCUCUGUGCCCCCCCCCUUUGCUUUGAGGCCAGGUGAGACCCUAGAAGUGGGACUGAAUGCAGAUGGACUGGGGUUGCUACAAGCAUUGCUAACUUCUGCACUGGCCCUUAUGGGAUGCAGAGAAUAGUUUGAGGUAUGGAGGGUUGUAGCAGAGAGCCCUGCUGCAGGCUGGAAGGUCCCCAGGUCUCAGUUUGCUCCCACAUGCAAACUGCAGCAGCACAAACAAGUCGGUGAUAAUCCACCCAGCAAUGGCAUCUUCCUUGGAAAGGGCCCUGAUUUCAGAAAGCAUCGCCGUCCAGAACAGUGUUCAAGCAUGUGCCUGCCUGUAAGCAUGAAUUUAAUUGCCAUCCUGGAGAAUGUUGUGCUUAAUCAUCUUCCUUGGUGCUUCUUCUGACUCAGGGCUGGUGUUGGCAUCCUGCAGGGUGCACCACGGUGGGAAGAGCUGCCAGGGCUGCAUAUGUCUCAUGUACGUGGCUGGGUGCUGCUGAGGAAAUGUGUGGUGGGGAAGGGAGCUUGAGGUUCUCUGGUAAAGAAAACAGCUCUUAAUUAAUUGGAUGAGUAGGGUGAGUUGCUAAAACACGCAGUGUUUGUGGCAGCAAAGGGUUUGUAAGGACAGGAGUUUGGGUUGAGGAUAAAUGAACCUUUGCAGCUCUCAGCAGCUUGCUGGAACUCCUCAUCCUUGCUCCCUUGGGACACAGUCAGCAGCUUGGGGCUUCUUCCAGGCUUCCUAGAAAGCCCAGAGGUUCCCCACAUCUGCGUGCCCAGGUGCAGGGAGCAGUGUGCACAAUUAAGGGUGUGCGUUUGGGAGCACCGUGGGAGAUGCAGAGCUGGGGACUUGCACCUGCCGGGCUGCUGACCACAGAAAUCUGUGCACAGCAGUGACACGUAACAGAUUUCCACCAUUGGUUUGAACUCCCUUUUCUCUGUAUUGAUACCUAGGGACUUGCAUGGUCGGUGCCACAAGACACCUCCUGCAGGGGAGAGGUUAGGAAUGUACCUCACAGUAUGAGUUGGUGCCGAUUCCUAAGCACAGCAGCUGCCCUACCAACUACUUGUGGGGAUGGCUCCUCAUGAUGUCUCCAAGCCUCAGUACUGCACCCCUUUCAUUCUCUGGGAUCAUAGAGUCAUAGAAUCACUCAGGUUGGAAAUGACCUUAAAGAUCAUAGAGUCCAACCAGGACCUAACCACACUACCCUAACUCGAACAACCCUCCACUAAAUCAUGUCCCUGAGCACCACAUCCAAACAGUUGUUAAACACAUCCAGGGAUGGUGACUCAACCACCUCCCUGGGCAGCCCAUUCCAGUGCUUAACAACCCUUUCUGUAUAGAAGUGUUUCCUGAUAUCCAACCUAAACUUACCCUGCACUACUUGAGGCCAUUUCCCCUCAUCCCUCAUCCUGUCACCUGUCAGCAGUGAGAAGAGACCAGCUCGGCUCUCGCUGUAAGCACCUUUCAGAUAUUGGGAGAGAGCAGUAAGGUCUCCCCUCUGCCUCCUUUUCCCAGACCAAACAGCCCCAGUUCCCUCAGUCUCUCCUCAUAGGCCAUAUUCUCCAAGCCCUUCACAAGCCUUGUUGCCCUUCUUUGGACCUGCUCCAGCACCUUCAUGUCCUUUCUGUACUGAGGUGCCCUAAACUGAGCGCAGGACUCGAGGUGAGGCCUCACCAAUGCCGAGUAGAGGGGCAGGAUGACUUCCCUGGUGCUGCUCACCACACCAUUCCUGAUACAAGCCAGGAGGCCGUUGGCCUUCUUGGCCACCUGGGCACACUGCUGGCUCCUAUUCAGCUGACUGUCCAUCAGUACACCAAGGACCGUUUCAUAGAAUGGUUUGAGUUGGAAGGUGCCUUUGAAGGCCAUCUGGUCCAACUCCCAGCAAUGAGCAGGGACACCCACAGCUCCAUCAGUGCUCAGAGCCCCUCCAGCCUGACCUUGGGUGUCUGCAGGGAUGGGCACUGAACACUCUCUGGGUGUUGAGCUGUGGAGAACAAGCAGAGCUAACAUGAUCCCAGUGUUACUGGGGAUCUUGGUACUGGGCCAGAGAUGAAGAUGAUUGAGUGGGCCUGAAUUAAUGGAAGGUUUGGGCACGUCAGGAAUUUAGGUGGAGUGUUUUUUUUUGUGCAGGGAGAUUGGUCUGAAGCAAAUUGCAGUGGGAACUUUUAAUAUAAAUUAUUUCUUAAAAGCACUUGGACAUAAGGACAAACUUGAAGAUUAUGGCUGAUUACUUCAAAAAGCAAAAUCACUCAAUUUGCAUUUGACAUCAAGGGGAAGAGCAUUACCUGCAUAUAUAACCUGGAAUGGAGUAGGCCUGGGGAGUGAGUGAACAUCUGGAGUCUUGCUGUCAGAUGCUCUCCUUUCCCAAUGCGAUACUCUUAAUGCUUUCCAGCUGAGCUGGAUCCGAGUCUUUAAAAGCACUAAGGAGAAGACCAUUGGUGCUCUCCAGAUAGGGAGCUGAGACCCACAGAUAGAAUCAUUAAGGUUGGAAACUACCUCUAAGAUCAUCCAAUCCAACCCCAACCCAGCCUACCAUGCCCACUGCCCACAUCCCUCAGUGCCAUGACCCCAUCAGUUCUGAAACACCUCCAGAGUUGGUGACCCCACCACUCCCUGGGCAGCUGUGCCAAUGCAUCACCACUCUUUGGGAGAAUAAAUUCUUCCUAAUAUCCAACCUGAUGGGGAGAUGGCAGCUGGAGGCUGUGUACACAGGCUGAGUUUACACCCCAGAUUUGCAAUCAGUUAUUUUAACCCAGAGAUGCCCUUAACCUGUCCAUGGAUGCGGGGCAUGUGUUGUCCUCAAAGAUCUGCUGUGAUUCCUCUCACCUUCUUUGCUGUCAGUCUAUAGUGAAAAGUUAAUGGUGCUGUUCUGCAGGAGAACUGCAGUGUAGGAGUAACUCCCUGUAUGUGAAACAAAAUGAUGUUGUGACUUUUGGCACAGUGGAAAAGGCUUGCCUUUCCCCUGCUGCUGUCUCUGUAGGUAUGUCCCUAAGGAAAGCAUGCCAUCUUUUUAUUACUGACCACGUAACUCAGGGCAGAGUGACAUUAUUUGUCAGUAAUACAACACCAGAGGAGCUGCACUGCUCUCUCUAAUUUUCCAAUAAGCAAAUCAAGCCACAUGCAGUGCUUCGCUAAACCCUUUCCUCUGCAGCUUCCCACACAUGCACGGUGUCUGCGUUCCUUCCAUUAAGUAAUUAAGUGAAGUUUCAUGACUGAAGCUCUCUCUUCCCAUGGGUGACUGUGAGAUUGCUUCACUUGUAGGGAGAAUCCAUUCCCCUGGAGCAACGAGUGGGCUCAGUGGGUUCAGUCCCAGUGAGUACUGGCUGUACAAAAUGGAGAUGUCCUUUGGUGCCAGUUCUGUGUGCACAUCAGAGCAUGUCUGAGAAGAGUCAGAAUGAAAGCACAGUAUCUAUUUCUGAAUUUUCAGUGCUAGAUGGAACUUAUAGUGCUCUGGAGCAUGCACAGACAUCUGUGUUGUUGCAGGACCUACCAAGCAGUGGUGCCUGGAGGCCUGAGCAGAUACAUGGCAUCACAGCCCAUCCAGGCAUGGGGUCAUGGGUAACUUCCUGGCCAUGGGCAGCUCCUUGAUUGUGGGCAACUCUUUGGUCAUGGGCAUCGCCUUGGUCAUGGUUAUCACCUUGGUCAUGGGCAACUCUUUGUUGGUGGGCGUCUCCUUGGUCAUGGGCAGCUCCUUGGUUGUGGACAGUUCCUCGGUCGUAGGCAAAUCCUUGGUCAUGAGAAGCUCUUUGCUCAGAGAAGAUGAAGCUUAAGCCAGGAGCUGCAAUGGUUAGAAAGGAGAAACAAACAGGAAGCCAUAAGGGUUGCACUGUAACAGAAGUACAGAGGGUACUGUGUUUUGUCACUGAGAAUUGUGAGAUAUUCAAGUGAUAAAUGAGAGAUUAGGGUAAAAAAAUAAUUGGUCUUACAGCAUUGAAAUAGAGGGGUUAUAAACCCCUGGGAAGUUUAAGAAGUGCCAGGAAAGCCAUGUGGGAUGCUUAGGAAAAGCUGGCUGUGCAGAGGGAUAGGACAGUUGGAAGAAUAUUGUUCUCUGCAGAAAGUAAAAGGGAAAGUAGCAGAUAAAGGCCAGUGGGAUUUCCCAGGAAAGUUUCUAAAGAAUAGAACAGUCAAAAAUUACAUUUCCUGAAAGCAGAAUCUUCUGACUAACACAUUUUGCCCUUUCUGCUGAGCAGGCUGUGUUAGUACGCUCAUAGCCAUACCUUUAAGUUGGAUAUUUAUUACUGUGCUGUAGAAAACUUAUCAUAGUUUCUGGACAACUCUCUCCAGCACAUCAUCUCAUGUAAGGCUGAACAUUGCUGCCUGUUCUUACUAAUGCUGCAGCAUUCGUGGGAUUUUCAGAAGCUUUGGGCUUCUGCUGUUGUGAUGCUGAUUGCCAGGGGAAUAAUUAGACUGGAUUAAAAAAAAAAAAAAAAGAAGAAAAAAAGGAUAUUUUAUCUUUUAAAUAACUGUCCACGGGUGUUAUUUUCCAUCACAUCCUGCUUUUGCUGGUUCUGCAGCUGUGGCAGGCAGAGCAGAAUGACACUUAUAUUUCUAUGCUAUUCCUUCCCAAAGUGCAAGACUGGAAGACAGGAAAAGUUAUUUCUCUAGAUAACAUCCAGCAAGCUCCCUGUAUUUGGAGGUGCUGUCUGCUCCAAGGAAAUCACGCAGUGGAUUAUUGCAGGGGAAAGUCAAAUUGCUGAAGAAACCAUUCAAACCGUGCAGAGGUGCAUCAUUUUAAGUACAACGGCUCAGUCCAUCCUCCACACUACCACGAGCGUGUGCUCCUGGAGGAGAGGCCUCCCCAAAGGAUCGUUGCUGAAGGGUGCAUCUGGAAAGAGCAGCCUGCAAGGUGCGGCGUGCGCGGUAGCAAUUAGGCGCUUACAUGCAUGCAAAUGCGGGGCAGCGGUUUGCCUGCAGCCUGCACUGCCUUCUCCUGCCGGUGGGCAUGGAGCUCCUUCCUGGCAAAGUAUGUCUUGAGCAUCUGCAGGACUAAUAAGCUAGAAAACAGGCCCUGGGGAAAACCCCUUUCCCUCCCCCUUUCUUUUUUCGCUUUUCUUUUUUGUUAAUUAAUUAAUUUAUUUUUUUCAUCGCAGAGAGCAGAGAUUUGCAAGACAAAAGCGUUCGCUUUGCAUUGUGCGUUUUGUUUUGUGUCUGUGGCUGUGUGGAAACACACCUGCCAUUUUACUGCUUCCUGCAGCAGAUGCAAAUAGAGCAUCCUCAGGAAAAUGUUACAUCCCUUAAAAUAAACUCCGCUGCUCAGCAGCGCGUGUUGCCUCUGGUUUCGUGCUGGAAUGCAUCUGCAAAAUCAGAAAGCCACGGGAUAAAAAUGCAGUUGCCCACCAGUAAUAAGGAGGAGUUCCUGUGAAAGCUGCGCUCGGCCUUCUAUCAUUUGUAAAGUUUCAGUGUGGGGAUGUUUGGGGCGGUUGGGUUUUUGGGUUUUUCCUCCAUCUCCUUCCUUCUUCCUCUCCCUCCUGUUCUGCUCUGGGGGCCCUCGCCUGGCUCUGUGCCUGCUGGCUGAGCUGCUCUGGGAUUGCUCUGUGCAGUGGACAGAGGUCUCUCUGGCUUCCUGGGGUGGCACUGCCUUGCUGUGCAUGGAUCUUUUCCCUUUCUUCCUGCUCCUUUGCUGUUAUAUGGAAAGCCCAAACAGGAAAAGGUUAAUAGGAGAAAAGUCAAAUAGAGCUGAAUAGGUCAGAAUUUGUCUUGCUUUUGGUUUCCUUGCUCCAGAGCCAGCCUGCGUCUGGCACAUAGAGACCUUGAAACCUGCCUGAUGGAGUUUCAUUCUUGGUUGAUCACAUUGCCCUUGAAAGAAAUUGUAUUCUGUUCUGCAGAAAAGCAGAAAGACGGAAGAGAAGCGAAUCCUUCAUGCAGCUGCUGCACCCAUGCAGAGCUCAGAGGGUGCAGUUCUGCACAUCCCAUCUGCAGAGGUCUCCAAGCAUCAGCUGCUGGGCAGGAGCACAGCAAGGCUUGCUUUUCUUCUCUGAUGGCUGCUUGUGAGGUUUUGCUGCUGCUCAGGCUGCCUGGAGCUCUGGUUUGCAGGAUGCAGGUGCAAGGAGGGGUGUGCGGAUGCUUGGGGUUUCUCACCUGAAAAAGGAGUGGUUGAGUCAUUGCGGAAGCUUUGCUAUCUGCAAAAUCGUAGAUAGGGGUUGCUACCAGCACUGAUUCAAGACAGAAAGCUGAUAAAGCAGGCAAAACCUACCUGGAGGUCUCUGUGGGUGUCUGAAGACAUUGUCUGGAAUCGGUUUUGAUUUUAGUCAAAAUAACAUCUGGUGAUCAAGCGUUGAAGUGGUUGAUAUGGGGGAACAUGGAUGUGCUUGGGGAUAAGGGUGAAGCACAGAGGUUUUUCAAGGGGUGGGUGAGGUCUGGUGGCCAGGGUGGCAGUGGCUGGGGGGGAGGACAGGGGUGGCUGUGCAGCAGUCCCAUAACCUUGGGUGCCAUGGAGCUGGAGCUUGCAGGAGGCUCUGGGUGGGACAGCACCAGGAAGGAGGUGUUAGGGGAAGCUUGGUAUGGAAGGGGCUGAGUAGAGCAACCACAAUGUAUGGGAAAAACUGGCUUCCAGAGACUGCUGACUGUUGAUGGGCAAUCUGCUGCAGGGCCCCAGUUUUUGGAAGCACCAGCGGGGCGGUGCCAAGCCAGGAUUGCAUGGAAGCACAUGGGAUGGAUCAGAGCCGCUCCCUGGGCACGCAGGUGUGGCUGUCACAGCCCAUGCUCUCACAGUGAGUGUUUGUCUUGGCUCAGGAGCCGAGCAGAGGGGUAUGGGGCAUGCCUGCCCAUGUGGACAGGAAUUCCCCUUGAGGCACGCUGUGUUCAGGCGUCUUUUCCCCAGAACUGCUGUUGGAUCACUAUGGCUCACUCCAGUUCCCCCUUGCUCUGGUUUGGCAGCAUCCCUCCCUGCUGUGUCCAUGGCUGUAUGAAUGGUCCUGCUCCUUUCCACACCUUGGUUGGGCUGCAAGGGAGACAUGGCACAAACUCUGCUCUGUGCUUGGCCUGCUCUGGUUGUUGGCAACCCUGCCCACAGCAAGGGGGUUGGAACUUGGUGAUCUUUAAGGUCCCUUCCAACCUAAGCCAUUCUAUGAUUGUAUGAUCUUGACUCCUUCUUGCACUUCAUCCCAACAGUGAUCUGUUGCGAUCCUUUUGGUUGCUCGAUGACUUGCAGCAGCAGGAGAGUUCUCUUCCAUCCUUUCUUCAAAUGUCAGCAUCUCAGAAACAUGCACAUUGAUUGCAUGGGUGGUGUGCAACACCUGGAAGAAUAGUUCAAGCCGUGGCUGACACUUCAGCCAUGGUGUUUUGUGCCACGCGUACAACUGUCCCCCUUCCUCACGAAGCUCUCCACAUCAGGAGCAGCUGAAUCUGUUUCCAAAUCAUAUUAACAUCUCUUAACCUCCCAGAUAUAUUCUGUCCUAGCAGAGCAGCUUGCUGAGGUGGUCUCAGACAGCUCUAAGCACAGUGCCACACUGAACAUUGAGCAAUGCCAAACAUUCUGCUUGGAGAAGAUCAGAGACUUUCUGCUUUUAAUCAUGUGCUUUCCUUGCCUGGUGAGAACAUCUCUGUGCUGCCUUGGCUAAUAGCAGGAAUCCUGAGAAAACACAGAGAGGGAUCUGCUGUGAAGAUCAGGCUACUGUUGGCUUGCCCAGACAGCUCUGCUCUCCCAGCAGAGCAAACCUCUCCAGCAGGGCCUCCAGUAACCUCACCUGUCCUCCCAGAGGUAAUUGUGGGCAGAUGCAUUGCCUGGGUAUGAUGUCAUUAUGCUGUGCUACUGCUAGUUUGUUAAAUGCAAGCGAAGGAGGUUGCUGAGAUGACUGGGAGCAUCAGCACAUAGCAUCAAGGACUCGAAUGGAUGAUGCAGCCAACUGGAAGAGAUUCCCUGCUGGAGCACUGUGGCACUCCCUGUCCUUUCUCAACGUGCUGGUUCCUGUUGCUGUGAGCUACCUGCUCGAGGCUCUAAGGAGGUGCUUGGCACGGCCGUGCCUGGAGUUUGUUGCCACAUUUUCUCCCAGUUGCUGGAUUUGCAAAGAGGUUCUCCCAUGGGUUACAUGAGCCUGGGAGCCUCCUCAUGCCACAAUAUAGGAAUAGCAAUAGCUGAAGGGAUCCAGUACCAGUGUAGAUCUUAUCCACUGUUUUCAAGCUAAGGCUUGAGUGUUGGUGCCCUCUGAGAUCUGACCAGUGUGCUCUCAGUGUGCACAGUAUCAGCUGGAAGCAGAGCAGGAAUUCAGGCUCUGGUCCAGCUCCCACGGUGUUCCAUGAGGUAGGGUUGCUAGACAUCCGUGUAACAUGAGAUUUCCUGCAUUUCAGACUUGAAUCCUGCGAGCUGUAUUGAAAACAUACGUGAUGCUAUCCUUCCUGUAUUUCCUGUACAGUUUUAAUAUGGGACGUGAGAAAUCCUGCUAUCAUCUGCCCCCUCCUUUACCAUAUUUCUUAGAAUGUUCUUCAUCUCCCUUCUUUUCCCCAAGAUUUUGAGUAUGUCCAUCAGCUGUUAAGGACAAAACAACCCCUGGAACACGUUUCAGGUUUUUACUUGUAUCUUGUAAUCCAUCCACUGGAAUUCUUUUAAGACCUUCAGUAGAGUUAACCAGACUGCCUUGCAACUUUAUUUUGCUACUCCCUGCUAGGGUGAAAGGUGAGGUGAUCUCUAUCAGAUAAUUGCUGUAUUACGUAAUUAAUUGGGAGAUAAAAACCAGGUUAUCCCAAUUGCUCGGCGUUAGAGCUGAUUUUGCAACCAGUUAAGAACUCGGGGUCUCGACUCUCCAGAUCUCUGCAAGUGUCAGUGGCACACAGUUAUACACAAAAGGAAACUGAGGUUAUUUCAAAUGAGAAUGAGCGCGGUAGGAAGAGGUGGUGAAAGACUUAUUCUCUGAAAGAGUGGUUAAGUAUUGGAACAAACUGCCUGGGGAAAUGGUGGGGAUACCAUCCCUGGAGGUGUUCUAGAACUGUGGAGAUGUGGCACUGAGGGAUGUGGUCAGUGGGCACGGUGGGUUGGGUUGGGGUUGGCGAUCUUAGAGGUCUUUUCCAACCUUCGUGAUUGUAUGAAACGAGUCCCCUGAUGACCAGUCAUGGGCUGAGCUUCUCAGCUGCACUGAUAUUGGAGCAUGUAUGAGGAGUACCCCCAGGAAAUACAGAGUGAGUGUGUUAAAUGGGUUUCCAAUUGGAAGGGAGGGCUGUGAUGGAGGAGGAAGCUCUGGAGGACCUCACCUGCUUCUGUGCACAGUGCUGGUUCCCCAUGGCCAGGAAGAUGAAUUCACUUUAGGAUAAAUGUAAUGACCAGCUAUUACAGUGAUGAGAACAGAGCAAUUUCCUUACUGAGAGAAGAUUAAGAGCAUAUCUACAUCAUCAUAAUGAGAGACAGUCCUGUCUUUGAGUUCAUAGUCCAGUGCAAAGCGUAAUAGUGAAUUUAUAAUGUUGGAGUUGAAUUUGGGAUUUGCCAAAUUCACUGUCCAAAUGAUCAGAUGUACAUUAUAUAGAAACAAUUACGGAUAACUUCGGAGCCAGUCACAAUGCAGACCAGUGUCUGCAAUGCAAAUGUUUUGGGACACACAGCCCACAUAGGUGCUAUUCCGUUACUCCAAGAAGGCUGCUUUCCCAGGGAGACAUACUUAAUGAAGAUCUGAUGAUUUUCGUGUUUGGCUAAGCCAAGCUUCUAUCUAUCACACCUUGCUCCUAACAGGCAGGUCUGCUUCACCACAGUUUUUAAACUGGGAGGAGAGGGAGCACACACAUUUGUUUCUGAACUUCAGGAGUGAGCGGUGUGGGCUCUGCUUCCCCAUCCCUGGCUGCAUGAAUGAGCUGUGUCUGCUUGUUCUGGUCAUAACUUCUGAACUGCUGACCGGGAGCUGCUAAGUGAUGGCAUGUGGCCACUUCUUCGCUGUAAGCUCCCUAAUUUGAGACGUUCCAGCCGGCCAGGUGGCAGGGAGCUGGGACUGCUUUCUGUGGAGCCGUGUUGUUCUUUGUAACCCCCCACGCUUUGCAAAGCUCAGAGCUCCCACUGCUCGUUGUGCAGUGAUGCCCAUGUCCCAGCUGAUGCUGGGGUCCUUGAGGGCAUGCUCCCCUUCAUCUUCCUUGUGCUGCAAAAGGUGUUGAAGUCAGAAGCUGAGCUCAGCUUCUUUGCAUUUGAGCAAGUUGCAUUGGGAGCUCCUUUUUCAGAAGAAUGAGCAAAGGCGCAGUGCUUGCAGAGCUGUGUGCUGGAGCCAAGUGUGGAUCCUGCAGUGUCCCUCCUCCAGAAUCCCCCAACCCAUAAGAGUCAUACUGUGGUCUCUGUUCUACAGCUACAGACGUGGGAAUGCCAAAAAGACUGAGCUCCUUGCUGCCUUUCUGUGCCAUGCUGCAUAAUAACGCUGCCACUGCGCUUUAGGCUAGCCUCAAUUACCCCUUGUUAUCAGCACGGAGAUCAAAGCACAUCAUUUAAAGAACAAAUGCAGUAAAUACCUUGAAUUUGUGGAUUGACUUUUUUAGAAAAGCAAAUUGUCAGGACAAGCUCGAGCUAAUCCUGUGCAUUUUGCAUAAAGAACUGGAAAGAGAAAGAGACAUAAGUGUUACCCGAGGUGUCAAUUUGCAUGAUGCGGCGUGAUUUUAUGAUGCUGCUGCUGCCUGUUGUGUAAUCCCCAAUUCCAUGCUUUGGAAUUGCUCUGGGAUCUCUGCACAGGCUCAGAAUAGCUUCCUAUCUCUGGGUGCUGCAGGAGCUCUCAGUCCGCUUUUCGUCUGUAAGAGCUUGCUUGGAUCUUAGUGGUGUGUUAUUAUUUCUGCUUCAGGUUUUGGGGAUUUUUUAGCAUCUCCUUGCAAAGGAAAAGCAGAGGCACUGUUGGACCGUCUGCUGAUGGGCUGCGGUUUAUCAGGCCCUUCCUUCUAGAGGGUUGAUUUCACUAUGGAGCAGCUUUGCUCCAUUAAAACGUAUAGAGUAUUUGAAGGAAGGAGUGUUAAUGAAGUGUCAGGAAACUUUAUUGCUGUCUGGAACUGGGGAAGAGGUGGAGUGAGAGGAAGAGAGGAUAACUGGGAAAAAUCCCAUCCAACAGCAAGGCCGUUACCUUCUCUGACACGUACUGGGAGCUGCUGCUGUUAAAGCAUUGGGAAUAAGGUUCAAGGAUACAGCAAAGCACUCAGCAGAUUUUUCCAUUUUUGUAAAGAUUGUUCUGAUUUACCCCCCUCUCCCUCCCCCCCCCUUAUUUUUUUGCUUUGUUUCGAAGCUUUACUCCCUUUGGAGCUUUCUGGAUAGCCUUGGUGCCAGGUGCUGCUCCCCAUCUCAGAGGCUCCAUGCAGCCUGCCCUUGAGAUGUGUGCUUGCAGUUUGGCUUAUUUCUUCCGUACUCUGCCAGUUUGUUUAAUUAAACUGCUCAAUUCUUCUGAAAAUGGGAAAUGGAAUUACCAUAGGAUGCCUGAAUGCUCUUGGUGCGGGGGGGAUGUAUGGGCUUGGAUGGAUAAAUCAAGCUGUUGCAUUUUGGCUGGGGUGGUGGGCCCCUUGGCUGGGGUAGACACUUCGUUUCUUUAUCACAGAGCAUUUAAUAGCAAAAAAAGGAAGCCAGCAGGGAGCUGGGCUGUGGUGGUCCUCAUCUCAAGCCAGAGCUGAGCCGGGGGCACGACUGGGGUGGCAUCUCCUCAUGGCCACCUCCAGUACAGGGAAGCCAAAUGGCAGCAGACACGGGGUCCUUGUUUGCAUCUCCAACGUGCCUAAUAUUUAGCUCCAAUUUUGUCAGCUUGAGCUGCUGCUGUAAGUGUGUAAAUGUCUUCUGGUUUAUUUGGGCAGCAGAUUUGUUUUGCUUUAUUGGCUCAAAAAUAAAUGGUGCAGCCUAUGCUGUUGGUGCCACUAGCCAGGCUGCUUGCUCAACCGCUGGAGAGCUGUAUUCAGUUCUGCAUUGUCAAUUCAAACUGUACUUCAGCUGGUGUGGUUUUGCCUUAUAGACCUUAAUUUAUUCCCCCCCCCCCCCCCCCCAAACAGACUAAUAUUUAUUGCUGUGAUUUUAGGAUUUUAGUUGUUAUUUUCUCUGCCACACAGGCACUCUCUGUGCUUGCUUAAAUUGCUGUGGAUAUUCCUGCCAAAGCUAUUGCAUUAAUACCCAUUUCAUGCUGACAUGUAUACAGAAAUUAUGUAUUUUCAUGAAUUAACAAAAAAGUUCGCUGCCCAGCACAUGAUCCAUCUGGUGGCUCCACUCACAGCCCUGGGCAUGGGGAAUCUGCCUGGUCUACAGGCCGACUUGCAUCUUUUCUAGUGGAUAGAAAACAAAAAACUGUCUCCAUUGCCAGAAGUCGCACCUCCCUGUUUGUUCUGGGAGUGGCGUUUCCUCUUUAAUCACAUUUAUCCUUGUGUUUGCUUACCUUGGUGUAACUCUCUGUUCCACCAUGGAGAUGGAGAGCGCCCCGGGGGACGUUUCUGAGCUCACUCCAUCACGUGUCACCAGGGCGUAUUUCUGGCAAAAAUUAUACUUCCAAGCAUGACAUUUUUUUAGCUGUACAUUUUAAAAAUCAAUUAUUAUUAUAUCUUUUCCUGUCAUGAAUGGUAAUUUUUACUAUUACUUUGUUUGGCCCUAUGUUGUUGCCUGGGGAUGCCUCUUUGCGCUUGAAAGCAAAGGUUUUCAUUAUUGCUGGUGGAAUCAGUGGCACAGUACUUAUAGGAAUCUCUUCCACACUUCACACCUUCUAUCCAGCUGGGCUCAGCUUUGCUGCUAGCUCUUCUGGUGGCUUUUCUGUACCUGAAAACACCAUAGGAAUGUGUCCUAGGACCAACUUCACACCACUCCACUCUGUAGGACCUCAGGAAGAAGUACCCGAGGCUCUCCGUGCACUUUCCCCACUUGUAAAAUUGUAGUAAACACAUCCAAAUGUCAUUAGUAAGUGUUUCGUGCUCCAAGAAUGAGACUAUUAUGUCAGUGCUUUGCAGUGUCGUUAUUUAUUAUCUCGGAGCUAAUGGGAUGCAAUACAAAGAGUGUGGCGUGAUUUCGGAAGCUGGAGGCGUGCCGUGUUUCCUGAUGACAGUGUGAAUGCUUGUGGCUUUUUGGAGCAGCUCGAGAUGUAGAAUUUGAUGAGGAUCCUUCACUGUUGCUCCCAGCUAGUCUCAUCGGGUGGUCGGCGCUUUGUAUUAGCCUAGAAGGUCACCGGAGGAAUUAGCUGGUGUGAAUUUGUGGCUUCCUCAGUAGUAAGAGAUUGUUGACACGCUGUUGGGAAUAGCAUUUCAGGGGGUGAAUGCGUGAGAAAGGCAGCAGGGAGAUACUCGAGCUACAAGAGCACUGAAGUCCUCAAUGGCCGAUUCACUGGGCUUGCAUUUGAAUCCAGAGGGAAGUAGUGAAUAUCUGAACUCACAUUCUCCCUUCCAUUCUUCCUCCAGCCCUUUCUCAGGGUCAGCACUCAUAUGGUGGAGCAUCCUUAGUGGUGUAGCUGGGCUCUGCAGUCUUGUGCUGGGUUUGGUCUCAUCUCUUGAGCUCUGGGGGAAGCACUCAGCCCUGUGCUGACAGCAAAGGGAACACGUUUUGGAUGAUGUUCUGAAGCAAAGACCUGGCUGUCCACAGUCACUGAGGUUUUACCUGAUCCAAAAUCAGGGUUGUAAAUCUGUGUUGGUUAGUCUGAUUCCAGGUUGCCAAGAUAUUUUACAUUUUUAGCUCAAAAAUAUUUCAGAGGUGCACAAAUGGCUGCAUCUCGUGCCUGGAGGUGGAUGCUUUUGGCUUAUCAUCUUCAAAAACUGUCUACUUCUAGAAAGUUUUUAAUGAAGACUUACAUCCCUCCACUCCAUGGCCUUUGCUGGCCACAGGCUGGUCCUGACUUUCAACUCCUUGAAAGGGUAGAUAAUAGCAGGACAAGGGGAAAUGGUUUUAAGUUGAAGGAGGGAAGAUUUAGGUUGGAUGUCAGGGGGAAGUUCUUUACUAUGAGAGUGGUGAGGUGCUGGAACAGCUGCCCAGAGAGGCUGUGGAUGCCCCAUUCAUCCCUGGAUGUGUUGAAGGCGAGGUUGGAUGGGGCCCUGGGCAGAGCCUGGUCGAGUAUUAAAUGUGGAGGUUGGUGGCCCUGCCAAUAGGGAUGAAGCUUCAUGAUCCUUGAGGUCCCUUCCAACCCAGGUCUUUUUGUGAUUGGCUUUGCAAAGUGCAACUUUUCAGCCCAUUUUGGGGCACGCUUUGAGUGAAAGCCCCCUCCAGUAUGACACUGCUUGCAGCUGUUGGCCACGUGGUUGAGGAGCGCUUUGAGCCCUAAAAACCAUUCUUCUAAUGGGAAAACAGCAAGGAAAGCAUUUAUGAGUCAGAAAGAUGCCCCUACCCAAACUGGUGUCGUUUGACCUCAGUCUGUCUGUAUCUUUGGAAAAGCUGUAGGCUUCCAUGAUUCCUAUAGUGUUAGAUACCAACCCAGGAGCAUUUCCCAUAUCCCACAGCAUCUCCACUCCUCCCCGGGCUGCCCUGUGAGGCAUCUUCACUCCUGCUCUCAGCCAAGGUCAGAGCAAAAUGAUUGGGAAGGUUAAAAUGAAGUAAGAGCAGGUAAUGGAAUAGGGCUUGGUCAAAAUGUUGAGAUGGUUGCCCUAAACUUGGCAACAGGCCUUUAAUAAACAAACUGAGAUAGUAACAGAACGUGCUCGUUGUAUUUUCACAAGCGAAUAAAAUAUUUUGUUGCAGAAAUUGGCUGGUUUGAGGGCUUGGUGGAAGGGUCUGUAAUUGCUGGUUGGCCAACCGGGUAAACAGCGCCCUGUGCGCUGCUGUAAUUGAGGCUGUGUGGGUCAGGCUGUUUAAUUGCUGUCUGCCUGCUUGGAAUAGAAACCUCUCCACAGCCACGGGCACCGCGUCUGAUUGAGUAAACAAGCUGCCUGUCAGCGAGGCGAGGGAGCAGCUCUGGUCCCCUCUCCAGAAAUGUAGGUCCAAAGGGCCCUUGCUCAAGGGCUGCGUCACCAAUCGUGCUUGUGCUGGAAGAUGACAUUAGCAAGCAAGGAGGAUGGAGGCAGAUAAGAAAUGAGGGGUCCCGUGGCUCAUCCUGAGCGUCUCCUCCGUUGCAGCAUCACUUGGAGCACUCAUGCCCUCCCUGGAUGCUGUCUCCUCGUUUCCCUGGUGCUCCUCAGGCAAGCAGCACUCACACUGUGCUUCUGACAUACGGACUCCAUUGUGCUGCAGAAGGCCAAUGAAAGUUAAUAUUUUCCUACUGAGAUUCCAGACAGGAUUUCACAGAGCUAUCAGCCCAUGCGUGGCGCUGGGCUCAUGGCGGCUGCCUGCCUGCAGGCUCUGCACGGCUCCUGGCUGUGCUGUCGUUGGGAAAGGUGGUAAAUCUGUAAAUAAUAAUAAUAAAAGCAGACAGCAGGAUGUAUCCGGACUUCCUUUUCCCGUCUACUGGAGACUGUUUGCAAUACCCACUUGGUUCUUCGUAUCUCCCUCUCACUUGCGUCUUUUUAUGGUACAUCUCCACAUUGUCUCCUAAACUUGCUGUUCCCUGAAGCCACGCUUCCCUGUGGGUGCUGUGUGGGAAAAGCAAAUUGAAAGAAUCUGGAACGAUGAAGUCACCGAGCCACCGCGGAGGAUGGGGCAGAAGCAGCGUUUCCUCGUCCUGUAACCCGCGUGCACUCCGUGCUUUGAUGGCUCCGGCUCCCAGCGCCUCGCAGCCAGCCUCACCAGUGUGGUCUGGCUGCUCUGCAGGGCUGCAUACAGAGGAUUCCAACCCCGCUGGCUGGGUCGGACUGGUGAUGCUGCUUUUUGGACCGCACGCUUUUUGGAGGGGAGGCGUCCUGUUUGUGUUGUGCACACACUUCUCUGACAGUGACAUACGAGAUUAUGGAGCGUGGCUGAUGUUCAAGAUUCCUUCUAACUCGUGAGCUGAGGAUUCCUGUUUAGAAACGCUGUGCAGUGGCUGCAAGAAGAGAAACAAAACAACCCAACCGUUUGCCAUCUUAAAUAUUGCAAACUCCGGUGAGGUGGUGUGAGGUUGUGUGCCUCCAGCUUGGAUUCUGCUGCCCUGUGUUGCUUUCCAAGAAGGUGCUGUUUAUCACAGCCUCGGCUCAUUUGAAUAGCACAGGGUCUUUGAGAGCAAGCUAUCUCCUUCUUUAUCAUCGAAACUGCAAAAUUACUCGGCAGCUCAAACUUGUGGGCUCAAAAACCCAUCCAGCAGAGAAUGAAAAUUUUCCAGGUGAGGAAUAGUGGCUGCUUGUUUUCUCCCCUCCCUUGGAUGGGUUUGUGUCUGGGCAUGAUUUCAGCCCUUCCUUCCUAUUCAGCGGCCCAAACAUUGAAGUGGGUGUGAAACCUGCGAGUGAGGAAGGGAAGUAGCAAGCAACGGGUGUGUGACACUGCUUGGAGGGGGCCUAGAAGAGCUGCCCUUGGGAUGAGCUCCUGGGGGCAGCAGGAGGAAGAGAAGGGGAGGAGGAGGAAGAGCAUUUUCACAGGCAUCCAGGUGGAUGGGUAGGUCAGGGCUUCGCUUCAGUUUGUGAUGGGAAUAAGCAAGACUGGUGAAGCCACUCUGGGCUUUUAUGGGGAUGGUGCUGGGUGUUCCCUGCCCCAAACUGCUCUCUGUGGGCUGUGUUUGGGUGGAAUAUUGCAAAGGGCUCUGCAGUCCUGUGGAAGGAUAAGGGCUGUGCCUAGGGUUUGGGAAUGAGCAGCAUGAAGGUGCAUCCUUGAUCUCCCAGAUUAUGGUUGAUGGAUGUUCCUGAAAGGUAUAGGAGAAGGUUCCAGAAACCAAAGAAUGCCCUGCAGUCCCUACCCUAUCAGUAGUCUCAUGUGAUAUUUGAUGUGCUUUUUAAUGUGCAAAAGGAAUUAAUUUCACCUGGCUGGGACCUCUGGAUUUCAGGUGGCUGAAGUCAGACAUACUGACAUCCGAGGGCAGCGUGCCCUCCUCCCAGUGGUUGCAGCCAGCAGAAUUAGGUGUCUUCAUGGCAGUGAGCAAGGAAAAAGCAUUCCCAGAUAUUAAUGAAUGCCAGAUUUGCCAAAUGAAUGAGCAGGAUUUUUGUUCCUUGGUGAGAAGAGGAAACAACCAUGGUCUUUCUCAGACCAAACCCAACAUUUUAAUGCUCCUCAUCACGUGGAGUGCUCAGCUCUUGGGAAACAAGGGAAAAAAUCUGAGAUCUGAGCCACUGGGUUUUGCUCAUUGUUAUGUUCUGUUGCUGGUCCUUUGUUUGAUCCUGAUGGCAUGGUUUCCUGUUUGGUGUGGGGUGGGUGGGUGCUCCGUACCUGAGCUGUGCCCGGGGAUGAUGCAGGAUGGCAGCACUGCAUCAUCAUUUUUGCAUCACACGAGUUCUGCAAGCUCUUUAAAACACAACUCAAGUUGUGUGCUAUGGAAUGUUGUAUCAGAGGCCACCUGCGGCCAGGGCAGAUGCAUCAGUAGUAUUUUCUGUCUUAAUGCUGUGUGUUCUGAUUUGCAUUUAUUUAAUGGAACUUCAUGCUGCCCUGAUCCUGCAGCAUAUUGCUAGCCCUAUGGAGGGAUGUUAAUGCAAGCUUUUCCCUGGAGGUGUUCAAGGCCAGCUUGGAUGGGGCCCUGGGCUCUAGUGCCUAAUCUCAUGGGUGACAGUCCUGCCCGUAUAAUGGGGUUGGAACUAGGUGAUCUUUGAGGUCCCUUCCAACCCAAGCUGUUCUAUGAUUCAGGCACUGUGAUUCAUGGCUUUAAGCUGGCUUAGAGGAAACACGUAGUGCUCGUUUUCUCUCAUGCUUCUGGUCGGAGCUGCUGAAGGCUGCGUGGCUGAAGUUUUGUGACUCUCCCUGGGAGAGGGGCUGGUCGAGCAGUGCCUGAUGUCUUUUUGCCUCACCUUGAGGGCAGCUCAGGGGAACUGUGCUGCUGUGUAUGUGACAACACGUGGGUCAAGCGGUCUAUUCUAAUGUUUAGCAUCAGAGCUAGGCAGUUAUCAAGCUGGUGGUGUUGACCUGUGCCCCUGGAAGGUAGAGAUAAAUGCCUGGUCUUCCAUUUAACCUAUUGCCAGUUCCCUUCCCAUGCUGGGGGUGCUGGAUGUGGGACACAUGAGAGCAUCCUGCUGCCUCCUCCCCACCAAACCACAGCCAUGUCACUGCGCUGCUGCCUUCCCAUCGCAGCUCCUGAAACCCAAACCCUUCGCUUUGAUUACAGAAACAGUUUGAAAUUUGGCCCUGUUUGACAGAGAUGCUAAGGCUGACUUGUGUCUGCAGAGGAAUGGGGAGGGAUUAGGAUUUGUUGGGAAAAUGCUUUUGCUUUCAGCUUAUUUUUCUUCCUGAGUAAAUAAAUAUCGUAGUAGUGUUAGCAGAUGGGGAUUGCAGAGAGGAGACUAAAAGCCCAGAAAGAAAGCAUGGUUUCUCCUAAUCUUUUUAUUAGGCCAUGACAAUGUAUAGAAUACCUAUAUUGUGCAUACAGCACGUGUCCUUAUAGGGCCGUUACAAUUGAUUUUGCACCGUUGUUAAGCUGUCACUUUGUUUUCUCCUUGAUUAAAGCUGUUUGUUGCUGUACUCUGCAAGAUUCUUGGUGGCAGAGUGUACAGCUAUGGCUCUGAACACAGCAUGGGACACGGGCUCUGCUGUCUGCUGAUGCAGUGAUGCUCAGCACCACCUUCUUGCUCAGACUCUGCUUUGAAUUCCCAUCCUGGUUGUCUCUGGUGGCUUUGCAAAUCAGUUUUUGCACCUCCUGGCAGAAUCACGUGUAUGUCAUUCCCAUCUAUUCCCAUCAAGAAGACUGUGUCCUGGGAGCCCUCUCCUCUCAUUCUUUUAUCACUGGGAAGCUAUUAAGCUAAAAUAGGGUUAUUGCUUCUUAGCAAUUUGUCACCUCUGCCUGUUCCUGCAUAGUUUUCAACCUUUGUUCAAGAUGCAGUAAUUGGUGCAAAUAGGAAAUAGCCCAAAGGAAUAGGAGAUUGAAUUUCAUCUGAAUUGUUCAUGUUUUCUGUAAAGCCAGCUAUGUUGAAUGAUGACUAAAUCGGGAUUAGUAUUUGUAUUUAUGAGACUCAGCAUUUCUUCAUUGAAGGCUGUGUCAUAGAAAACCUUGAACACUCCGGAUGGGAAACACCUCUAAAAUUGUGCUUAUUCAUCUCAUUAAAUCUCCACGUGCACACGAUGGGUGUUUUGCUGGUCCAUCAGAAUUUAUAUGGUUAGUUUCACAACUCCAUCAGAUACUUUUUAUCGCACAGCUCAUUACAUUUAAUGUAGUUCUGUGGGAAGGCAGGAGAUGUAAACUCCAGCAGGCUGUUUGAUAUCAAAAUUAGGUGAGACCAUCUACUUUCCCUGCCUGUUGAUACUUUAAGGUUUCCUGACAGAUAGUUCUCAUUUUCUGUCUGAACAGGGCCAAAAUAAUUUUUCUUUUCUAGGACAGUUAAUUUACUGCAUCUGUAAUCAAAGUAAAUUGAAUGGACUAAAUUCUACCCUAAGACUGGUUUUAUACUCUACCAAGAAAAGUCUUGCUCUUCACCCAUUUUCCAAACACACACGUGUUGCUGAUUCAUAGAUCACAAUACUUGUUAAAUUAAUGACUACUUUCAGGAGGUUUUGAUUUUAAUCUGUGUAGGUGGUCCAGAAAUUGCUUCUCAUCGUUAGGUACUCAUUAACUUUGCACAUCUCCCUUACUGUGUGUGAUGGACACACAAAGCUUCUCAUUAGGUUCAGCAACGUGCCUCCUACUUCUGGGUUGACCUGAUGAACAUGUGCUCUUGAAGCACAGGUCUGAGCCUUUUUGGAGUGUCUGAGACAGGAGGAGCCCUUCUGUAAUGAGUGGUAUUGCUUCAACUCAAGGAGAUCUCCCACUACGUUGCUUUGUGCAGGUGCAUUCGUGGUAUCAGUGGGCAGGGUUUGCCCUACCCAUGCUGUACCAUCAGGGCUCUGGAGAUCUCAGACUUGGGAUGCCUCUUGUUUGUGUUUCAGCUCUUGGUCACAUCUGUCUCUUCCCACUGGGAGUAUUUCUGAGCCAGCAAACUUCUUGGGAACACAUUGUCAUGGAGCUAUCCUGUCUGGUAUCUCUGGUGCUUUGGUAAUGUGAGCGUUAAUUAAUUCUGCAAACACAGUCAUUAGCUCUUUGUCUGGCUGCCCUAAUCUGUCCCUAGUAAUAACCAGAGAAACUGCUCAGUGCUGCCUGGUUUCUUCUCCUGCCCUUUCUUUCCCAUGCCCAAGGUAGGUUUAUGAAGACCUUUACAGACUUUGCACUUUGAGUCUUUCUCUCUGUUUUUUCCAUUUUUUCCCCUAUGCUCCUCAUACCACCUCAGCUCUAACAGGCUUGGAGGUGCAUUUUGUGAGGCAGGCACAGAUGGCCUCCUCAGAGCGGAUCCCUCCAGGCCCGUUGGGUGCCGGUGCUGCGCAUCUGCUCCACCAAACACAGCAGAGCUGUGGGGAGCUCCCCCAUUGGCAGGGGAUGGUGCAGCCCUUUAUCCUUCUCCAUACACCAUUUCUUGAGGGCCACCAGAAAAAAUCCCCAGACCCAAUAUGGGAUUGCCCCUCCUGGGCUGCCUCGAGGUGUUUCCAUGUUGAGAUCAACGCUCGGUGCAGAUCUCAGCUGCCUGCAGCGCUGUAAUAACACUUAUCUUCUCCGUGAUGUAUUGCAGUGCUGAUUUUAUUCCUUCCUGAUCUUUUUGGUGCAUUGUGCAUGUUUUGUUGCCUGCCAACUGUAUUCUGAGCCUCAGAUCCCUUGGGUGGCCCAUUGAGGCCCUCCCAUGCCUGCUUUGAUAUCCCAUGUUUAUCUGAUGGAAAUGAGCCCUUCCGAGAUGGCCCGCUUCACUUUCUUGCCAUGUUUCCCAGCUGUCUUUCUGGACUACUUUUAUAUCCCAUUGCCCCUGGGGCUGUUCAAAGGCUUCUUUGGAGCCUGAAAUCCCUGCGUGUCUCUGAGCUGAGGAAGCCAGGAGAGCAUAUCGGGUGAGUCAUUAGGAUUUACUCUGAAUUUUGACGCCCUGUGUGUUUUCUCUCAUGCUGGCCUUGUAUGUAACACAACCCGGAGUACUCCAGGCCAGCACUGUGUUUUUCUUUUUUCUUUUCCUUUUCCUUUGUUUGUGUUAUGCUUGAUUUGAUAUUCAGACCUCACUCAGUUCUCUUUGGCCGCCUCUUCUGAAUAAGAAGAAUUGUUUCAAGGACCUUGUGGCUCUGGGUUUUUCAGGUAAAUACAUCUCUUUCCUCGUUUAGAAAGGGUAGUUUGAACUUAAAUCAUAAAUGAAGAUAUCUGUUUGAUAAGUGGUAACAAAGGAAAGGCUUGGUAGUCAUGUGAAUAGCCCAGCUGGUCUCAACAUUAUUUUCUCGAUAAAGUUCUGUGGUUUUGAAUGUGUGCUGUUUUUACAGAAAUAAAUUUGAGUUCUAUCACUUAAAACCACGAUAAAUUGGAAUAGAGAUGUCUACUGUAUGGCAGCUUUUAGAUAUCAGAGGAAGCUUAGCAGAAAACCAUGCUUUUUGUGUUAAGGAUGCUUCAGUUGUUUCUGCUGGUCAGGGGGUGGAUUGUGGAUUUGACCCCACUUUUGGAUGCAGAUUCUCCCUGAUGUCUGUUGGCAUCACUUCAUCCACCUCCCUGGGAUUGACUCUGAUGUUUCUUCACAGCUUCUGCUUGGUUUUUAAAGGUGGCUUUGCAGAGGAAAUCUUUCUGUGUGACUUCUGAGAUACUUCACUUCGUGAUGGACAGCGUGAGAUUCUAGAUGUCCUCAUCUGGAAAACCUUCAGUUAUCAGUGACAAAUUCAAAUGUUCUUUUUUUUCCAACCUAGAAAUACCUCAUUUAAAAGGGCAGACUUUUUUGGGGUGUGUCUCAACACCUUGACUUUGUGGUAGUUUGUGGGUGACAAGAGUAAGGGAAAGUUAAGCAAGCCAAUAGAACGUUGGUUUGGAUCUUUGUGCAUCGGUGGGCUGGGUUGGAGAUGCCCAGGAAGGAGGUGAUGGAGAAGUGGCUGGAAGAAGAGGCAGGAAGGCUGGUGUUGUCACAGAGGUUGGGUUGUGGUAGCAGCAUGGUAAGUGCUUGAAUGCAGUGAAGCAGCAGAGCUGCUGACUUGCCCUUUGUCCUUCCUCUUGUGGGUUCCUAUCAAGAACGUGUUGAACAACCUGCAGUUUCAGAGCAAAGCUUCCUCAUACAUUUGUUUUCUGUGCUGUUUUAAUGGCCACAAUAAGAGGAAGAGCUCGGUGAGCAGGGCAUGAGGUGAAUGUGGUAAGGUUGACUGCUGGUGGAGAGCAUCUCAUGUCAGCUGCUAUGCAUGAGCUUCUUUAUGCAACCUGCACUGCAGUGUCCUUCUCUGCUAUAGAACAAAGUUGUUAGAGGAGAAGGGUGUCUGCAUGCAGAGUGAACGCCACGUCCUGCUGUGUUGUGCUAACCUCAUGUACAACUAAUGUGUAUGCUCCCUGCUUCCUCACCCCUUCUGUCUGUCGUGCUUCAAUCAGUGUUCAACCCAAAGCAAUGGUCUUCAUCCAGAUAAGCUUUGAUCAGGUUGGUGCACAUGGUGCAUCUAUUCCCAAGCCACAGGAAAACGAAACAAAUGAAAUCACAAAACCAGAAGAAAAGAGGGCAGCCUUCCCUUGGGGCAGAUUCCCCCAACCUUUUCCAAGCAGGAGAACCAUCGCUCUGCAUGUUGGGUGUGAGUUUGAGCUGAUACCCCACAGUAGUGCCAAGGGGGUCAGGAAGGCAAGAGCUCCCUGUCUGAAUUCAGCUCAAUGGGAAGCAAAUGAAAUGAAACAGAAAAUUCAACGGCGUUAAAGAAAUUUGAAGUUAUUGGCCUUUCCCUGUGCUUUUGUAGGAAAAAAGUUUUCAUGUAUGGCCCCGAUUGAAACUGUAUUUGAUCGCAGUGGUGUGGAUUUUCCAUUGGACGUCUGACAGGGCUGAAGGAACCAACCUACUUGUUGAAAGGGAUGAGCAGAUCUUCCCAGACACUUCGUCCCGAGAUAUGCAAGAAGGAUUUUUAUUUUUUUGGAGCUUUUCUUAAACCAGCAUGCAGAACAGGCAUCUGCAUUUCAUCUAGAGUAUCGUCCAUUUGUUUGGAGAAUGCGGUAUGGCUGAAAGUCCAAGUUUUCUUUGGAUCAGGCCUUUAAGAUUUGGUUUGAUUUAUUUCCAGUGACGCUACUGAAAUGCAGCUUCCUUCUCUUUCUUUUUUUUUUUUUCCAUCUCUGCCGACCUGCUAAGUUAAAAUAAACGUUAGGUUUUGAUGUAUUUCUUUAUUUAUUUUAGUUACCGCAGAGGCAAGAACGUGGAGUGAGAGACUUGGAUGAAAGGCAGGGAGCAGCGGAUUAGCUAGGAGAGGUGCCAGGCUCAGGUGCCCUUGUAGCUUGGGAUGUUGGAGCUGUGUUUUUAGGCUGAUUUUUUUUGUGUUCAUCUUAAAGUCCCAAGCAAAGUGGGUUUUGUGAUGGCUGUUUUUCCAUCUGCACUGCUCGGGGAAGUGGUACAAGGCCAUGGUGGUGAAAUGAGACCCAUUGGCACUGUGGUGAACCCAAUGUGCAGUCCAAGAAGUGAUGGGCUUGCUGAGCAUAGAUGUGAUUUUUCUAUCAAGUGUGUUGCUAGCAUGGGCAGGAUCAGUGCUUUAUGCAUUGCCCACAUUUAAUUAAAUGGUAUGCAUUUAAUAUAUAUUGCAUAAAUCUAAUCUGUUUCCAGUUUUGCUCAUUUCUUGCCUGAGGUGUUUAGUUGUUUCUAAGCCUGGUUGUUGUGCAGUGUUCCCUCACAAAGCACACAGAGAUAAGGCAGCCUGGAUGCUGUGGUUUUAAGGAACUUGACCAAAUUCAUGCACAGAAUUUGGUUCCUAUGCUGGGAAUGUCACCCAGCCCACACUCCCAGCCCUUGCAGUCACUAUGAACAAUUGGGAGCCUAUCCAUUGCGAUGAACAAAGAUGACCCAUUUUGUCCUCUAAGCUGCCUUGCUUUAAAUAAGGAAAAAAAGCCACCGCUAUUGUAUGCUCGUGAGCUGUGAUUGCAUGCUUGUGGGCCGGACUGCCCUUGCAGCAGGGAAAUCCUGCAUCCCUGAGGAUGCUCAGCCUUGUUCCUGCCUUUGGGUUCCCAGGGAUGCUGG